GGGGAGUCUGGCUGGGCUCCUUUAUUUUAGUUUGGUAAACCAGCCACUCUACCUCCUCAUGGAAAAUUGGUACAGUGUGUCUUGAGGUAAGUCAAUGACAGACCAGCACUCUCCCCUUCCCGCAGACACACGUCCCCAGGAGUGCUGGGAGAAGUGAGACCUGGAGCAAGGCUCGGCGUCCCCUCCACGAGGACUUUGGGACAAUGUUGACAACGAGGUUCAGCUGAUCAGCUAGAUUGCAGGUGUCUAGCUCAGGGAAGGCGUGCCAACAUGGACCCUCUUACUAAUAUUGCAAGCAUCCCACAUGCAUCAGAACAGGCAUCAACCUCCCAUCACAGUCACUGUGGAGAAAACAAAAAGAUGGGGAAACAGAGGGGGAGGGAAGUCGGAUAGACCAGGUGCCUCACAGGCGGCAGGAGUGGGCCCUGUGUGUCCUGUCUCUUUUCAAAGUUACGAAAACCAUGUUAAGAAGACACUUCAUUUUUUUCAUUAGCUCUCUCUUUAUAUCGUAAUGAAAAUAACCCAUUGAAAAAAAAUCCUAAGCACAACACUCAUGUGAAAGUUGAAGAAAACCACUCGUAAAUCUUAGCACAGGCAGAUUAGCACUUGUUAAUCUUUUUAUGUGACUGCUACCAAUACCUUUUUCUCCAUAUAAUAUAGCUCAUGUCUACUAACUAAUAACUUAACCAUCUAAGAAUUCUGCAGCUCUACGGAAUACCAGAAAGAGAGGGGACGGCUGUGUUUGGCAUUUGUGAGGUUUUUUUUAUUUUAUUUUAUUUUGUCUCUUUACUUCCACACCUAAGGCAUAUGGAAUUUCCCAGCCAGGUACAGAAUCCAAACUAUAGAUGCAGUAUAUGCCACAGCUGGGGCAAGGCUGGAUCUUUAAUCCUCUGUGCUGGGCCAGGGAUCAAACUCUCAGGGACCAAGGCUACUGGGUCAGGUUCUUAACCCAUUGUGCCGCAGUGGGAACGCCUCUGCAUGUUCUUUGGUUCAUUCAUCCAAUGAAUAUUUUUUAAGUACCUCCCAUGUUCUUAGAAAUAUUCUACUAGCUGGGGAUGCUAAACGAAAGAUGUUGUCCUUGUCCUCAGGCAUAUUGGAGCGAGAAAAGAAAGUAAUUAUGGUUCAGUAAAUUAUAAUUCAGUGAGUAGGUGCCUCUUACUUAGCCAGAGACUGCAAUGUUCCAAAGACAUGAUAAAUGAACUCAGUAUUGAUGAGUAGGAGGCAGUUAAUAGGGAAAGAAGUGAGGGGAGAGGACGGGGAUGUGUGGUUGAGAGUAAACAUUGAGAGUGGUGCACGUUUGAGCAACAGCCAGGCGGUCAGGAGAGCCGGCGCCCAGGAGGUGACACACCCGGGAGAGGGUGGAUCAUGCUUAUGGGGUGUGCGACAGAAGGGUUCUGCCACGCCUGCGUUGGCAUUUAUUAAGCCCACCCUGAGAACAGGAUAAAGCACAGGCAGGCUUGGGGGGCAUAGAAGCUGUCGCAGUGACGGCCGACCUGAGCCAGAGCAGAGGGACGCAGCUACUGGGUCAGGUUCUGGGAGCAAGGAGGAGGUGAGAGGGGAUGGGGUGGAGAAGGGUCAGCCAGGGCUGUAGGGUCUGUGGAUGGGAUGGAAGGGACAAAUGCCAGCCUUCUGGGGCAAAGGGCUGAUGACCUGGGCACCAGCUCAGCAGAGACCCAGACAGUGAACUCAGGAAGGGGAGCUGGAACUUAGUCAAGGGAACUAAACUCUGCAGUGGGAAUCUGUAAAAGUUGGGAAUCGGCAGCUAUGCGGGUGUUUGAGGCACAAUCCAAGACAAACUGGACACCAGGCCCCUGGUGGCAAGACUACUCUCCCCUCUCCUGACCCCUCCUCUGGAUGGCCAUCUUCAGAGAGGUCACUGCGCAUGUGCUGUUCCCCCAGGUUGUUCCCAUCUUACCCAUGUCCAUCAAAGGAAUUCUGGUUCUUCCGUGCGUGUGCACACGCAUGUGCAUGUGCGUGUGUGAAAGCUACUUUCUCCUUCCCAAAUGCUGCCAAUUCCUGCCUGGAUUUCAAUCAGAAAUGAUCUUUUUUCCAUUCUUUCUCAUUUUUUGUUUCACUUAGUUUCCGCACAAGAGUCUUACUACUUUUUUCCUGGAAAGGCUUGCUAUGAGGUCUGGAUAAUAGAGGGCUGGGGUGGGAGAGGACACGAGUUUAAAAGAAAGAUCAGAAGAAUGCAAUUAGAAAUUUCUAUCAGAAGCUACACACACACAUGCAUCUCAGUCUACAACCUCAUCUUUUAAAACUAUAUUUCUUCACACAUUAACAUUUUAGAUCAAACCUUUAAAAGGAUUUCUCGGUGAAUUUUAUUACCUGAUCAUUUCUCUCCUGGAUUUAAUUUCCCAGCAUGGCAACUGUACUGAGAUCUGGCUUCUUGCAAUGUGUAGUUUUGCAUCCAUGCAGGCACAGUGGAUUAAACAGAAUUUUAUAAGUUAGAUCUAGAACAUAAGCACUAUGUGGAAUGCAUGUUUUUUAGAAAGUGGAUCUUGGGCUCCCAAACAACAUACUUCAAUUGAGCGUGUAGAAGUUACCCACUCAUAAUCUGAAAUAUCCGGAAUAGACACAGGUAUUGACAUAUGUAAAUAUGUCUAGCUAGAACUCUAGAAGGAUGGUCUAACUGGGUCGUAGCUAAGAUAAUGUUCCACGGCAGUGUAAAUUAGCACAUUUGUGAAUUAUCCAUAUGUUGAACACCAGUUGCAAAGAUCUAAUCAUUAGUUGAAGAAAAACUUACUCUACAUCAGAAAAAAGAAAUUCUCUGUGAACACCAUUUGAUGUGUUUAGAUUCCUGGAAUGAAUGGCAAGAUUGAUCAAAGUCCAACAACUCGUGAAUUCCAAACACACUUUCAUUUGCUUAUGGCCACUUGUCAACAGUGGAGUGUGUGUGUGUAUAUAUAUAUAUGUGUAUGUAUAUAUAUGUGUGGUGUGUGUGUGUGUGUGUAGAGUCUUUUUAGGGCCACACUCACAGCAUGUGGAAGUUCCCAGGCUAAGGAUUGCUUCAGAACUACAGCUGCCAGCCUACACCACAGCCACAGCAACUCUGGACCCGAGCCACAUCUGCAACCUACACCACAGCUCACAGCAACACAGGAUCCUUAACCCACUGAGCAGUGGAGCCAGUUAUUUAAAACACAUCCUCACAGAUACUAGUUGGGUUUGUUACCUCUGAGCCAUGACGGGAACUCCAACAGUGGAGUACUUUAUGCUAAAUCAAACCUUACAAACAAAAAUUUAAAGGAAGUAUAAUUAAUUGAAUCACAGACUUGUUCUUUCCUAUCACAGAUUAAUCUUGAGGCAAUAAUAUUAGAAGUGGGGGAGUUCCUAUCGUUCAGUGGAAAUGAAUCUGACUAGUAUCCAUGGGGAUGCAGUUUCAAUCCCUAGCCUCUUUCAGUGGGUUAAAGAUCCAUCAUUGCCAUGAGCUGUGAUGUAGGUAACAGACAUAGCUUGGAUCUGGUGUUGCUGUGGCUGUGGUGUAGGCCAGCAGGUGCAGCUCCGAUUCGACCGCUAGCCUGGGAACCUCCGUAGGCCAUGGGUGUGGUCCUGAAAAGACAAAUAAUAAUAAUAAUAAUAAUAAUAAUAAUAACAAUAUUGCAAGUGGGAAUUUAGAAAAAUAUGUCCCCAAAAUAUAGCCUGUAAGAGAUUGAUGCCUUAAACGAUGUCAACGGUUAUUCUAUUGGGGGGAAAAAAGCCAUGGGUAGGAUUGGGUGAGCUGAUUUAAUCACAGUCAAACAGGCUUCUUUUCUCUAGAACAUCUCGGAGGUUCUCCUAUGCUGACAGGUAUGGAUUUCUAAGGAGGGACAUUGCUUCUCAAGCUGACUUGUCUCUCAGCAAUUGGCAGUGGAGCUUUGUACCUCGCACAGCAGGGAGCAGAGUCUUAGGGUGGGAAGGUCUUUCAAAGAGGGUGAAAGUCCUGGUGGAUUCAGACCACACUCUGGGCCUAAAAUGGGCCUGAGAAUGUCCAGGUGCCCAAGAGUUUUUCAUCACAGCUUUGUCACCAGUGCAAGUCUGAGAAUCCAUCACUAUAUUCAUGCCUUUCAAACACAUUUAAGGGGAAGAAGAAAAAACCAAGGUAAGUUCCCUGGAGCUGCCAUUUUUUUAAGAUGCAUGACAAUGCCCACUAGGUGUAUGGAAUGAUUGGCCAGUGGGGCCCGGCUUAUGACACAGGGAUGUCUACCCAAGAGUUUGUGAUCAUCUAUGUGGGAAAAGAAUCUGAAAGAGAAUGGAUGUGUGAUAUGUAUAACCGAAUCACUUUGUUGUACAGCAGCAACAAUCACAACAUUGUAAAUUAGCUGUACUUCAAUAAAACUUUAAGAAAUGAAAAUAAAAAGCAUGAUGAUCUAGGGGGAGGUGGGCGGGAAUGUGGGGGAGGCCCAGGAAGGGUUCCCUACAGCAAGUCACCUGUGUCCAACCAAUCUACUUCCCACAAAUAGGCAGCAAACUUUAACAGCCUUGAAUUCAUGGACAUCUCGGAGGGACGGGUCAACUCAGCCACCGUGUUGAAACCCCCUGAGACACUCAGAAUCAACGGCCACGAGAAGUGGCCUCUGCCUCUGCAGGCUCAAUGCUUAUCACUCCACAACGGUUGUGCUUCACAUUUCGACUCAAUAUUUAAUUCAUCGACGCCGAGCCUGAAAACUGAACGUACUGUCAGAGUUGGCAAGGGGACUCGAAAUUUAUGUUUUAAUUAGCUGGCCAUUUCAUCAAAAGGUAGACACGAUGUCUGUGGUUUAUAACUUUGAAAUAAACUCUAUGUGAGGGGGAAAAAAAUGCCGGGCACAUAUAGAGCUCAUUCAUGUCCAAGUUUAUGGUUUCUCUACCUGUGAAAAGGAAAGAGUUUGUGAAGGUAUAUUAUGGCGGAAAUUUACACAGCUUUCUUGUUCAUCAAAUUAAGCCAGUGCAUAUUUUCCUCAGCAGAAUAUGAAGCUAAGGUGUGGCUGCUUAAAUUAGGAGCAGGUAUUUUUCUUUGCAGGCGGAAUUUCUUCUGAAUUGUUCAAUGAAAGUACCACACACGUGGGAAAGAAAGCUUGCAGGGGGAAUUGGGUAGGGGUCUCUUUUUUCAAGUAUAUAAACUCAAGUACCACACAUUAAACUUUAAUAGACGCUGCUUGCUGGGAGGGAAAUUCGAAGCCAUUGCCAAGGAUGACACGCUUGACGCUAAUGGUCCGGUGAAAUCGGUGAGAUUAUUCAUACAAGCAAAGCCUUGACUUCCUAAUACCACAGCUGGGAAAUAGAAGUCAACCAAAGCUUUGUUGCUCCUCGGUCGAACCUUUGGAUGGUCAAUGCCCAGGAAAGAGCCCUGUCUAAACUGGUCACACGCCCAGCCUCCAACACAAAGAGCCUUGGGACAGAUGUGACGGGGAGGGAGGAAGGUCAUUCACUGUGUCACCCCCAUUCUUGUAGACCCCAACCCCAUCCUUAUGAUGUACUCUGCUCUAAGAGGGCUAGAAAACCAGUAUCUUUCAUAGUAAUGACUUCCAGUUUACAGCCUUCAUUUGUUAUAUUUCCUCAAUAGCUGUUGUGUUGAGAUUAACUGCAUAAAUGGUCUGCAGCUGUCUGUUAUGAAUUAAGGGAGUUUAAUCAAAGUAUUUCUAAUGUACAGCAUAAUGAUAAUACAUGGGGGAAGUACUAUUUAAGAGAUAAUGAUGGCUUCAGAAGAUCACUGUUGUAAUGUUUAGUGCAUAUGCCUUCAGCAUUGAAUUUGUUGUUGUUCUGAAUAUGCUUAAUGGAUCACUGAAAGGCUGCCUAAUGCAGGAUUGUUUGAUGGGGCUGACAGAGCUGGAAUUAGCCCAUUGCUGUUUACUGCAUACAGCCAUUAAGAUUAAUUGCUGCCAGAUAAUUUUGACUGUUUUUAUCUUCUGGAAAAAGUGUCACUAAUGGGUUUAUAAAUUGGUUCACUAUUGCUAAUAGUAAGGCCAGUGUAACGGGAUAGAAUGUCAGCUAAUUCUAAAGAUAAAGGUAAAAAAAGUAUAACGUACUAUAUGGCUUUUGCUAGUUUUAAGGGAUACUGUUAUCUAAUAACAGACACGCUGAUAUAUGAUGCUCAUUAAUGCUAUUUCCUGAGCUUUGGGUUGAACCUAAUAGAUGCUAAUAAAGUCUUAUUUGAUGUC
rnacentral:lncRNA from 1 species